AUGCACGCUGGCGGCGUGCCUCAUCCAUGCAAGUCGCGCGAACGGACGAGAAGCUUGCUUCUCUGAUGUUAGCGGCGGACGGGUGAGUAACACGUGGAUAACCUACCUAUAAGACUGGGAUAACUUCGGGAAACCGUAGCUAAUACCGGAUAAUAUUUUGAACCGCAUGGUUCAAAAGUGAAAGACGGUCUUGCUGUCACUUAUAGAUGGAUCCGCGCUGCAUUAGCUAGUUGGUAAGGUAACGGCUUACCAAGGCAACGAUGCAUAGCCGACCUGAGAGGGUGAUCGGCCACACUGGAACUGAGACACGGUCCAGACUCCUACGGGAGGCAGCAGUAGGGAAUCUUCCGCAAUGGGCGAAAGCCUGACGGAGCAACGCCGCGUGAGUGAUGAAGGUCUUCGGAUCGUAAAACUCUGUUAUUAGGGAAGAACAUAUGUGUAAGUAACUGUGCACAUCUUGACGGUACCUAAUCAGAAAGCCACGGCUAACUACGUG
rnacentral:rRNA from 1 species